rnacentral:lncRNA from 1 species
UCAACCUGUGAAAACAUGAGCUUCGUUAGCAACAGGGCAUGGUCUGAUCCCUGGGAAAUCUCUGGAGCUGGGAGUGGCCUCAAAGAGGAUCAUUAAAGAUCAAAAACCCCACUUGAAGUUGUUUGUUCUGCUGCAGUGUAAAUCCUCUUGGCUGAGCAGCCCUUGACAGAGUCUGCUGCCUAAACAGAAGUCUUAGACGGGUGUUUGGUUUGUUUUCUGUGGAAAUCAAGGCAAAGGUCUGAGUUCCACAUCUGAGUGCAGACCCAGGACAGUGUACACGGGAUGGCAAAGUGACUCAAACUGAAAGAACUCAGUGGAAGCAGAAACUAGGAGCCAGAGGUGUCAGGAAUAGCUCAGCCCUUCCCAGAGGCAGCAAGAGAGCAAGAAGGACAGAGGAGACUGAGCUGGCAGGUCUCUAAAUGACCUCAAGUCACCACAGCCACUGGUGCUGAAGGAAAUGGGAAAAUAGUCUCGUGACCCAGCGAGUGCUUCCCAUGCAGUCUGUCAUCUCUGGAGGCCUCAGAACCUGGUGUCACAUUACAGGGUGAAUGCCAGGGACAAGCUAAAGAGAGGAGAAGGUAUGACAUAGCUCCACCUACAUGCAAGGGGAGCCAGGAAGUGCAAUCCCUGGCUGGGCUGCCACGUCUCAGAAACCAUUAAGCCUAUGGAAGGUCUCUGGAUUUGAUGGCAAAUGGCAGCAGAAAUGUGGAAAAGAUCAAAGUGAUGUCAAGGUUGAUCUCUGAGUUUGGCAUGGCUGAACUCAAACAUCAUUUGCCAUGGACCCACAGUGUCUUCAGUAGCUGAGUGUGGUGUCAUUCCCCUAUGAUAUGUGCACUCAAUUGCUGGCCAGUUUUUGUUUUUUGUUUUUGAGAGAGUCUCGCUUUGUCUCCUAGGCUGGAGUGCAG